CUAUAAUGGAGAGUUUGAUCCUGGCUCAGGACGAACGCUGGCGGCGUGCCUAAUACAUGCAAGUCGAGCGGAACCAGAGGAGCUUGCUCCUUCUGGUUUAGCGGCGGACGGGUGAGUAACACGUGGGCAACCUGCCCUGCAGAUCGGGAUAACUCCGGGAAACCGGUGCUAAUACCGAAUAGUUUUGGGUCCCUCCUGGGACCCAACGGAAAGACGGUUUCGGCUGUCACUGCAGGAUGGGCCCGCGGCGCAUUAGCUA
rnacentral:rRNA from 1 species